rnacentral:sRNA from 1 species
CCCCGCUGCAGCACUAUGUCCAGUCUUGGGACAGUGUUCAUUAACUUUAGUUUUACAGAUUUCUCCUGUAUUUUAAGAAACCAGCAGAAACAGAUGGCUAUAGUUGGCUGGAAAGGGGAAGGCGUACAUUUGUGAUGGUUCUUUUGUCAAGGGAAAACAUUGCUAUUAUAUUGAGGCGGGGGGAUAUAAGGUUUCAUAUUCUAGAAAAUGUUAGAAAUUCAAAUCCAAGUCACCUUUGUUGAUAAUCCUAGCCAGAAGUUAGGCAAAACAACUUUUAUUGGGUGGUUUAUUUUUAGCAUCAGAACUCUGACAAAAUGCUUGUUUUAGAAACACUUUAAAAAAAAUACAUUCCAAUGUUUUCCUGUUGGAAAGUGAGCAGUGGCAUUUUGGUGCCAUCUCUUGGCCAUAAAAAAUGCUGUGCCUUGCCCAGUUAGCUCCUGUUUGUUAAGUCUACAUGUCCUAGUCAGAGUAUGGAUGAGGCCAGUGAGCGAGGCCUAUAAGCCAUUAUUCAGGAAGCCAUACGGGACAGGUUAUGAUUACAUGGCUGAUUGUGUAGAGAUAGUGUAAGGGAAGAUGUGAGAAGCUGCUUCUCACACAGGCAUGUGUUCUGUGGAGACCAGAGACUAUCCUCAGCCGUCAUUCCUCACUUGGUCUAACGGUCCCUCAUUGACUCAGAGCUCACGAAGAAGGCUACAAUGGCCAACUAGUGAACUCAGGGGUCUGCUUCUCUGCACCUUCCCAUGUGUGAAAUUGUAAGCAAACAUAGUAUGGCUGGCUUUGUGUAUGUAUGUGCACCUUAACUGUGUAUGCAACUGUCCAUGCGUUUUGUUGAGGCCAGGGGUUGACAUGGGAGACCUUCUGCUGUCAUUGCUCCCUUUUUUUGGGGGACAGGUUCUUUGAGUCUAGAGUUCACUGGCUAACCCCGAGUCCCCCAGGACCUACUUGCCUUCACUUUCUGAGCACUAGAGUUACACCUAUACAGCCGUGCUCCACUUUCAUAUGGGUUCUGGGGAACUUCGGUCUUCACACAUGUGCACCAUGCACUUUCUUCACUGAGCCAUCUCCCCAGCUUGCAUUUGUCUGCUGACACUUGUGGGAGUCUGGAUGCUAGCAGACCUACAGUACUCUGUCCCUAGAAACCUAGGUUUGGGGAUGUUCCUAUUCCUAGAUUUCGGCUCUUCCUUUUUAAUGUUUACCUUUUUGAGACCAGGCAAGAGGGUAUUAAAAGAAUGCUAGCUUUUUAAUAAAAACAUGGGGAUCUGGGAAUUGAAUAGAUUCUUAGGCUUUCAGACGAGCUGUUUCCUCAACCUAGUAUCUACAUUUUUUUUAAUAGCAAAUUCAUCUGCUGACAUUGUGGAUAAUCAAAUUACAUUCAUUUGACCAUUGUUUUUAUCAUGACUUCAACAUGACAACUUUAAAUUCCUGUAACAAUUCUCACAUUGGCCUUCUCAACCAUCUCUGAUUAUCUUUUUUUUUUUUUUUUUUUUUUGUUCUUUUUUUUCGGAGCUGGGGACUGAACCCAGGGCCUUGUGCUUCCUAGGCAAGUGCUCUACCACGGAGCUAAAUCCCCAACCCCAUCUCUGAUUAUCUUGACUGCCUUUGCAGAAUCUGCCCUUAGCUCUCACAGCCCUGCUUACCUCAUGGUGCCCUUUUCUACUGCUUGACACUCACCUUUUGUUCCUUGCUUUGCUCUUGUUUUGCAUGUACAGGUGUCACAGUAAUGGGUAUUUAAUCACAGUUUAGUGCCAGGCAAGGCUUACCAUGUUGGAAUAUGGGUACUAAACACCUACAGGCACAUUAUUUUGACUUCAUUCAGUCAUUUGGAGUAGCAAUUCUAUUUCACAGGCAGCACAACUGAGAUGGAAUCAUUGACUCUUUGUUUUUAUGAACAAAAAUGUAAGGCCAUGUAGGUAGUAAAGGUCUUUGUCUUCUAAAAGUAUAAUUAAAUUAGGAAUUCAAGUUGAAAUACUAAGGUUCAUGUGAGUCCUUUUUUUCCAUGACCAACUGGCCCAGAAAAGGUUAGAGAUUAUAUUUACAUAUGAGUGAAUGUUCAAGGUCUUGGUUAUUGAAAAUAACUUGCAAAAAAUACAUAUCCAGUAUAAUUUUACCACCACUAAAUACAGAGCAUGAUUCUAUUACAGUAAAUGGUUUUCUCUCUCCAGUUUUACCCCAAGAUUUAAUCAUCUUAGCUGUCCAGAACUCCUUUUGUUACUUGAACUACUAAUUGAAGAUUGACGUGUCCAAAGCCUCAGGUUUGAAAUCUCGGUAUGUUCCCAUCUGAACUAAUGCUUCCCACGGUGCUUACCAAGUUAGGUUUGGCUCUGGCAGAGGAGUGGACAGCAGCUGAUUGAGAUACAAGCCCAUCUGGAGACAGGACUGCCACUGACAGAAGACGUGGGCUGUGUCUAAAUCCAAUCUGGGACCCGGCCGCAUGGCUGCCUUCACCUGUUGUAAUUCUUCAUACAGCAUCUUGGCACCACCUCUCCGUGGAUCUUCACUAUCUACGUAAAACAACCCAAAGACAGCGUUUCCAGACACUGCAUCAGUUUGCCCUUCCCCACAUUCCAUCAUCAAAGCCACAAAGACAAUCAGUGUGAAAACUGGUCGCUUUUCUUUUCUGGUUUCAUAAAUGUCUUCCAUACAC